rnacentral:rRNA from 1 species
UACGUAGGGGGCAAGCGUUAUCCGGAUUUACUGGGUGUAAAGGGAGCGUAGACGGCAAGGCAAGUCUGAUGUGAAAAACCAGGGCUUAACCCUGGGACUGCAUUGGAAACUGUCUGGCUCGAGUGCCGGAGAGGUAAGCGGAAUUCCUAGUGUAGCGGUGAAAUGCGUAGAUAUUAGGAAGAACACCAGUGGCGAAGGCGGCUUACUGGACGGUAACUGACGUUGAGGCUCGAAAGCGUGGGGAGCAAACAGG